UAAACACAGGCAGAAGAUAACGACCGCAUACCUGCGAAACUCCACUCGUUGGCUUCACCAAAAAAAUGUCUGACGAAAAAGUUCAGCAAGUAGAGAUGACAGACGAGAAACCAAAAGUAGAAGAGGCAGGUGAUAGCGAAAACGCAACUGAACCUACAAAUUCGAUUUUUACUAGCGUCGUCGUUACGCCCCCAAAUUGUCCCAAAGGAUACCAGAGGGGAGAGGACGGUGUAUGCCGAGAAGUAUUCUAAAAUCUCCAUUUAAAGCCCCCGUUAAAGCCUGCCCAUAAACGAUGGAUCUAGUUAUUUCACUAUCUAGGAUAAUAAUCCUUUGAAUAGAUUAAUACUUGUCGUCUCAUAAUAUGUUGUCUGAUAAUGUUUUAUGUUGAAAUUCAAUUCGAAUAUUGUACUUUCUCAAAUGAUUGUAUUACAUUUAUUUAAGACUUUGAAAUUUAGUUUCAAAUAGUGUUUGGUAAAAAAACGAUUAAGGUUUAUAAUUAUUAUCUAUGUUAACUGUGAUCUUAUAGGUUAUUAUUUUUGUUUGCGAAAUGGCAUUUGUGUAAUAAAUAUUUCCAAAUUUA